AGAAUCAACGCUGGCGGCGUGCCUAACACAUGCAAGUCGCACGAGAAAGGGGAGCAAUCCCUGAGUAAAGUUGCGCACGGGUGAGUAACACGUGAACUUAUCUACCUCCGAGUGGGGAAUAACUGAGAGAAAUCUUAGCUAAUACCGCAUAACACUUACGAGUCAAAGCAGCAAUGCGCUUGGAGAGGAGUUCGCGGCCGAUUAGCUAGUUGGCGGGGUAAUGGCCCACCAAGGCGAUGAUCGGUA
rnacentral:rRNA from 1 species